GGAUCCUCGUCCAUUUUUGAUUAUCAAAUUGACCUCUGGUAUUGAUCUUACUCUUCCUUUUUGCAGCUACAAAAAAAAUGAAAAAGAAAUCUAAUCGAUAAAGCCUUCCAACGAUUAAUAGAUCAUGUCGCAAUACAAGCAUCAUAAACAACAUAUACCUCAAGCUCUGAUCAAAGUGCAAAGUGUAAUACUUACUUCAUGAACUAGGGGACUAUAAUUUUUAAGUUUCGGUGGUGAUCUACAAGUUGUUGUUUUAAUCAAUCUGAUAUAAUUGCUGGCACAUGAAUUUAAUGUAACACUUCGCUUAUGAGCGACGAUUAAUAUGGGAAGCAUAAUAAAGGAAGACGUCACCGC
rnacentral:lncRNA from 1 species